rnacentral:rRNA from 1 species
UACGUAGGUGACAAGCGUUGUCCGGAUUUACUGGGCGUAAAGAGCGCGCAGGCGGCCGUUCAAGUCGAGUGUGAAAGCCCCCGGCUCAACUGGGGAGGGUCACUCGAUACUGAUCGACUCGAAGGCAGGAGAGGGAAGUGGAAUUCCCGGUGUAGUGGUGAAAUGCGCAGAUAUCAGGAGGAACACCGACGGCGAAGGCAGCUUACUGGGCCGAUACUGACGCUGAGGAGCGAAAGCGUGGGGAGCGAACAGG